CAGUCGCCACGGGAAUACGUAGGGUGCAAGCGUUAAUCGGAAUUACUGGGCGUAAAGCGUGCGCAGGCGGUUCUAUAAGACAGAUGUGAAAUCCCCGGGCUCAACCUGGGAACUGCAUUUGUGACUGUAGAGCUGGAGUACGGCAGAGGGGGAUGGAAUUCCGCGUGUAGCAGUGAAAUGCGUAGAUAUGCGGAGGAACACCGAUGGCGAAGGCAAUCCCCUGGGCCUGUACUGACGCUCAUGCACGAAAGCGUGGGGAGCAAACAGGAUUAGAUACCCCAGUAGUCCCUGUCUCUUAUAC
rnacentral:rRNA from 1 species